GGCCUCCCUCUGUGGGACGAUCAAUCAUGGGGCUCCAUGAUCAAUCGCUUAGCAGAGGGAGGCC
rnacentral:pre_miRNA from 1 species